rnacentral:rRNA from 1 species
UAAUACGGAGGGUGCAAGCGUUAAUCGGAAUUACUGGGCGUAAAGCGUGCGUAGGUGGUUUGUUAAGUCAGAUGUGAAAUCCCCGGGCUCAACCUGGGAACUGCAUUUGAAACUGGCAAACUAGAGUAUAGGAGAGGAAAGUGGAAUUUCUGGUGUAGCGGUGAAAUGCGUAGAUAUCAGAAGGAACAUCAAUGGCGAAGGCAGCUUUCUGGACUAAUACUGACACUGAGGUACGAAAGCGUGGGUAGCAAACAGGAUUAGAUACCCUGGUAGUCCACGCCGUAAACGAUGAUAACUAGCCGUUGGGAGGGUUUACCUCUUAGUGGCGAAGCUAACGCGUUAAGUUAUCCGCCUGGGGAGUACGGCCGCAAGGUUA